AUUGAACGCUGGCGGCAGGCCUAACACAUGCAAGUCGAGCGAGGGGCGGGCGGGUGAGUAAUGCCUGUCUAUUGCCCGGUCGGGGGGGAUAACAGUUAGAAACGACUGCUAAUCCCGCAUACGGUUGGAUUGCCUAGGUGGGAUUAGCUAGUUGGUGAGGGAAUGGCUCACCAAGGCGACGAUCCCUAGCUGGUCUGAGAGGAUGAUCAGCCACACUGGAACUGAGACACGGUCCAGACUCCUACGGGAGGCAGCAGUGGGGAAUAUUGCACAAUGGGGGAAACCCUGAUGCAGCCAUGCCGCGUGUGUGAAGAAGGCCUUCGGGUUGUAAAGCACUUUCAGCGAGGAGGCGUUACCCGCAGAAGAAGCACCGGCUAACUCCGUGCCAGCAGCCGCGGUAAUAC
rnacentral:rRNA from 1 species